rnacentral:rRNA from 1 species
UACGGAGGAUGCGAGCGUUAUCCGGAUUUAUUGGGUUUAAAGGGUGCGUAGGCGGACGCUUAAGUCAGCGGUAAAAUUGCGGGGCUCAACCUCGUCGAGCCGUUGAAACUGGGUGCCUUGAGUGGGCGAGAAGUACGCGGAAUGCGUGGUGUAGCGGUGAAAUGCAUAGAUAUCACGCAGAACUCCGAUUGCGAAGGCAGCGUACCGGCGCCCUACUGACGCUGAAGCACGAAGGCGUGG